rnacentral:rRNA from 1 species
UACAUGGGGUGCAAACGUUGCUCGGAAUUAUUGGGCGUAAAGCGCACGUAGGUGGUCUGUUAUGUCAGAUGUGAAAGCCCUCGGCUUAACUGAGGAAGUGCACCUGAAACUGGCAGGCUUGAGUACGAAAGAGGGUCGCGGAAUUCCCGGUGUAGAGGUGAAAUUCGUAGAUAUCGGGAGGAACACCGGUGGCGAAGGCGGCGACCUGGUUCGAUACUGACGCUGAGGCGCGAAAGCUAGGGGAGCAAACAGG